CGCACAAGCGGUGGAACAUGUGGUUCAAUUCGACGCAACGCGAAGAACCUUACCUGGGCUUGAACCGCUACUGACCAACGGUAGAAAUAUCGUCUUCCCGCAAGGGACAGUAGUAGAGGUGCUGCAUGGCUGUCGUCAGCUCGUGCCGUGAGGUGUUGGGUUAAGUCCCGCAACGAGCGCAACCCUUAUUCGUAGUUGCCACCCGCAAGGGGGAACUCUACGAGGACUGCUCCGGAUAACGGAGAGGAAGGUGGGGAUGACGUCAAGUCAGCACGGCCUUUAUGUCCAGGGCUACACACGUGUUACAAUGCACGGUACAGACUGUUGCGAACCCGCGAGGGGGAGCUAAUCGGACAAAACCGUGCUCAGUUCGGAUUGCAGUCUGCAACUCGACUGCAUGAAGCUGGAAUCGCUAGUAAUGGCGUAUCAGAUCGACGCCGUGAAUACGUUCCCGGGCCUUGUACACACCGCCCGUCACAUCACGAAAGUGAGCUGUACUAGAAGUCGCCCAGCCAACCGUAAGGGGGCAGGCGCCCAAGGUAUGACUCAUGAUUGGGGUGAAGUCGUAACAAGGUAACCGUA
rnacentral:rRNA from 1 species